GAUGAACGCUGGCUGCGUGCCUAAUACAUGCAAGUCGAGCGAAGCGGGGACGGGUGAGUAACACUUGGAUACCCUCCUAUCACACUGGGAUACCUUCGGGAAACCGGAGCUAACCAGAAUACUUAUAGAUGGAUCCGCGCUGCAUUAGCUAGUUGGUAAGGUAACGGCUUACCAAGGCAACGAUGCAUAGCCGACCUGAGAGGGUGAUCUGCCACACUGGAACUGAGAAACGGUUCAGACUCCUACGGGAGGCAGCAGUAGGGAAGCUUCCGCAAUGGGCGAAAGCCUGACGGAGCAACGCCGCGUGAGUGAUGAAGGUCUUCGGAUCGUAAAACUCUGUUAUUAGGGAAGCGGUACCUAAUCAGAAAGCCACGGCUAACUACGUGCCAGCAGCCGCGGUAAUAC
rnacentral:rRNA from 1 species